rnacentral:tRNA from 1 species
GGGGUUGUGGCUCAGAGGUAGAGCGCUCGUCUAGCACAUGCGAGGACCUGAGUUUGAUCCUCAGCAUCACAU